AGCGAACGCUGGCGGCAGGCCUAACACAUGCAAGUCGAACGAAGUCUUCGGGCUUAGUGGCGGACGGGUGAGUAACACGUGGGAACGUACCUUUUGGUUCGGAACAACUCAGGGAAACUUGAGCUAAUACCGGAUGAGCCCUUAGGGGGAAAGAUUUAUCGCCGAAAGAGCGGCCCGCGUUAGAUUAGCUAGUUGGUGAGGUAAAGGCUCACCAAGGCUACGAUCUAUAGCUGGUCUGAGAGGAUGAUCAGCCACACUGGGACUGAGACACGGCCCAGACUCCUACGGGAGGCAGCAGUGGGGAAUCUUGCGCAAUGGGCGAAAGCCUGACGCAGCCAUGCCGCGUGAAUGACGAAGGUCUUAGGAUUGUAAAAUUCUUUUACCAGGGACGAUAAUGACGGUACCUGGAGAAAAAGCCCCGGCUAACUUCGUGCCAGCCGCCGCAGUAACAC
rnacentral:rRNA from 1 species